UAUCAAAUCCACUUUCAAUAAAAUAUUUCAAUUUUACAUUCAUUUAAAUUUAUUUAUUGUAACCCAUAAUAAAACUUAAAUAUAAGCUACACCUUUAUCUGAUAUAAAUUUUUAUAUAAAUUAAAGAAAAUUAUUAAUUUUUUAAAAAUAUUCUUAUAACGACGAUAUAUAAACUAAAACAAAUUUAAGUAAGAUUCAACGUGGAAUAUCAAUUAAUAUACAGGUUCCUCUGAAUAGAAUAAAAUACCGCCAAAUUUUUUAAGUUUCAAGAUCAUAACUAAUACUACUCAAAUAAAUAAUAAAUACAUUNAUAAUAAUAGGGUAUCUAAUCCUAGUUU
rnacentral:rRNA from 1 species